CAGGAGGGACCACCCUCCCAGGCUAAAUACUCGCUAGUGACCAAUAGCGUAUAAUACCGUUAGGGAAAGGUGAAAAGAGCCCCGGGUGGGGAGUGAAAUAGAUCCUGAAACCUUGCACUUCCUAGCUGUGUAAGGACAUAUCUUGUGUGACCCAGUACUUUUUGUAGAAAAAGCCAACGAUUUAUGUUAAGUAUCAAGGUUAAGCUCUUAAAGUG
rnacentral:rRNA from 1 species